UAGCAUGAUCGCGGCGCUGGUUCGCCCGGUCAACCCGGGCGUCGUAAGAGGGAACCCGGCGGGAAUCCGGGACUGCCCCGCAGCGGUGAGCGGGAACGACCGCCGUCAACAGCACUGGGCCAACAGCCUGGGAAGCGACGGCCAGUAGGCAUGUGGAGGCUGCCCGCGAGUCCGAAGACCUGCCCGUGCCCCGUGCGCGAA
rnacentral:ncRNA from 2 species